GACGAACGCUGGCGGCGUGCCUAAUACAUGCCAGUAGAACGCUGAAGGAGGAGCUUGCUUCUCUGGAUGAGUUGCGAACGGGUGAGUAACGCGUAGGUAACCUGCCUGGUAGCGGGGGAUAACUAUUGGAAACGAUAGCUAAUACCGCAUAAGAGUAGAUGUUGCAUGACAUUUGCUUAAAAGGUGCAAUUGCAUCACUACCAGAUGGACCUGCGUUGUAUUAGCUAGCUGGUGAGGUAACGGCUCACCAAGGCGACGAUACAUAGCCGACCUGAGAGGGUGAUCGGCCACACUGGGACUGAGACACGGCCCAGACUCCUACGGGAGGCAGCAGUAGGGAAUCUUCGGCAAUGGACGGAAGUCUGACCGAGCAACGCCGCGUGAGUGAAGAAGGUUUUCGGAUCGUAAAGCUCUGUUGUAAGAGAAGAACGAGUGUGAGAGUGGAAAGUUCACACUGUGACGGUAUCUUACCAGAAAGGGACGGCUAACUACGUG
rnacentral:rRNA from 1 species